CGCGGUGACACGCCUUGCUCCAGGCCAAACCCGUGAGGGUACCUGUCUGUUCCCCAGGGCAGGGUCUGGUCUUGCUCCCUUGGCAUCCACAGCCCACACAGUGGAUGUGCCCCUGGCGCUGUGCCCCUGGCGCUAGCUUACUCUCUGUGCCUUUUCUUCCCUCCCAUGACCCUGGGAUGGAGGAAGAGGGUCUGGUUAACACAGUCACACCGCAGAGGGAGUAAUUCCCUCCCCCUCCCCCGGUCCUGUAUAGGGCCCCCCCCCCCCCCCCAGGGCUCACAGCCCAGGAAACUGAGUAAGAGCAGGAAGUGGAAAACACUUCGCAGAAAAAGUUCCUGGGAGAUAGAAACCCUACCUCGUCUCACGUUCUAUUCCCAGCUCCAGGACCGUGCCCGGCACAUCACAGGCACGCAGCGUGCCAACUGAACCGGACCCCGCCGUGUGGGUCCGACUACAAGGACCCCCCGGGUUCCUGCCUCCUGGGGUUUAUGUGCUAGAGACCUGCUCCUACCAACAGAACAUGGCAAAGGAGCCAACCCUGAGGAAGGGCAUGUGUGCAAGUUCCUUUGGGAAGUGAUGCCAAGACACACCGAGGAGGGAGCCGGACAAUGAGCAGUGAUGUGAAGCUCCCGGCAUGCCACAGCUGGGUGAAGAGCUGGACAGAGAUGUGCGGGCCGGGCUCCCGUGAGCUGGUGUGAGCCGUGGGGCUGCAAGCUGCGCAGAGAAGGAAGGCGCUGGCAAAACGUGCAAAAUCAAGCCAGUGUCACCGAUCAUCCGAGCGGUUAGUGGGAAGCAGGCGGCUUUGAUUCGACUCUGGCUCCCCAGUGCUCCGGCCUCUGUGUGUCAGCGGGCUCCUGUUUCACCCCAGGACAGCAGAAUCCCUUGAUUAAAUUCAUAUUUGUUUUAAUCUUUCCCUGUGUCUGAUCUCAGGCUCAAAGAUGGUCAGGAAAAAAGCCGGCCGCCCCGCGGUGGCCAUGGGGCGGGCCCGUGUCAGGCCCCACGCUGUUCGUUCUGCCCGGCGCGAUUAGGCAGCGGCCUGCGGUGGCCCGUCCUGCCCACUGUGCCAGCCCCUCAAGCCUGCAUGCCGGAGCCGCUGGGCCGGGGAGAGGGCGAGGAGGUGGGACCAGCCAGCGCCGGCUGCAGCCUCUGACUGGAGCCGUGUGGGACUUGAACAGCUAGAAUUCUCUUUAAAAAUGGAAAAGCUGAAGAAAUUAUGGAUCUUAGGUGCCCGGGGUGGAGUGUAUCCGCCCGCUCGGCUCGUACAGGCGACUCUCUUUGUCUGUUUUCCGUCUCCCCCCAGCUCAUCCCUCCCCCCUUCCACCAGCACGGAGGCCCCUUCCAAUGUGCCCGCGUGUUGGGUUAAAUACCUAAUGUUGCCGUCUACACGGUAGCAACAAUCCCCACAACAGCCCUUUGAUGUAGGUGCACUUAACACCAUCCCGUUUUCCAGAGGAGGAAACUGAGGCACAGAGAGGGCACGUGACUUGUCCAGGGAGACGCAGCUGGUAAGUGGCAGCGCUGAUACCAAACCCCAUGGAGUCUGGCUUCAGCGUCUCUUUUUCAUUUUUAAAAUAUUUUUAUUGAUGUCAGAGAGGAAGAGCAAGGAGAGAGAGAGAGAAACAUCAAUGAUGAGAGAGAAUCACGGAUCGGCUGCCUCCUGCACGCCCCACACCGGGAUCAAACCCACAACCCGGGGCAUGUGCCCUGACUGGGCAUCGCACCAUGGUUUAUAGAUCCACGCUCAACCACUUGGCUACGCCGGCCGGCUCAGCGCCUCUUCCUUACUCCUUAUCUAACUGUCUGCUGGCCCAGUCCUGUGCUCCGUCUCUGGGCCACCACUUCGCCUCGCCUGGGCCCCCCAGGAAGCCACGCCCUCACGGUCCUCUCAGGCCGCUGCCCUCUGUGUGUCAUGGUCCCCAGGCCACUGGUGCAGGUCUGGGCCACACUCCUGGCCUCCCUUGGGUGGGGCUGCCCCCAUCCCCCGCAGGAAGUGGGUGUG